GAGUUUGAUCGUGGCUCAGGAUUAACGCUAGCGGCAGGCAUAAUACAUGCAAGUUGAACGGGAUAAGUUUUAGCAAUAAGACUUUGAGAGUGGCGCACGGGUGCGUAACACGUAUGCAACCUACCCUUUACUAAGGAAUAGCCCCUCGAAAGAGGGAUUAAUACCUUAUAAUAUGUUUUCUAGGCAUCUAGGGAAUCUUAAAGCUCAGGCGGUAAAGGAUGGGCAUGCGGCUGAUUAGGUAGUUGGUGAGGUAACGGCUCACCAAGCCAACGAUCAGUAGGGGGUCUGAGAGGAUGUCCCCCCACACUGGUACUGAGACACGGACCAGACUCCUACGGGAGGCAGCAGUAGGGAAUAUUGGACAAUGGGCGCAAGCCUGAUCCAGCCAUGCCGCGUGCAGGAUGAAGGCCCUAUGGGUCGUAAACUGCUUUUGUAACGGGAAGAAACCUGACUACGUGUAGUCAGUUGACGG
rnacentral:rRNA from 1 species